UAUUCGUUUUCACUAAUUUUUGUUUUUCUUCUUUUCACCAGGUAAGAAAACCGAGUGUCCCAUACGCUGGCUGUGAAUCUAUUUGUAAGGGAACCAAAAACUCCUUCCGUUCGUCGUAGAAUCUAUUCGUAAAUUUUUCUGGAAAAAUUUUGCGAAAGUAUUACGGAUCUAAAGCUCUCCUUCUGUAAGUUAUUUCAAACUGAUAAUUCUGAUCAAACAAAUUUUAGAAUGUGCUUCAAUUCCUGGUUAUGCUCUGCUGUGAAUGUAUACAUGUGACGAUUUUCAGUUAGAAAUUUCCAAGAUUUUCCUGAUGACAAUGCAAUUUACCAGGGGAA